CAGGCUCCUGGGACUCUACAGGUUUCUCCAGGUACGAAGAGAUGUCUUCUGUGCCCAGAGGAGCAGUACUCAAGCCGCACCAGAGAUGGCUGCCUGCCCAGGACAGAGACCUUCCUGGCCUUUGACGACCCCCUGGGACUCAUGCUCGCCUUGGUGGCGCUCAUGCUGGCCAGCCUGGCAGUGCUGGUCCUCAGACUGUUCUGAAGCACCGAGACACACCUGUGGUCGGGGCCAACAACAGAGCUCUCAGCUGCACGCCGCUCACCUCCCUGACCCUCUGUGCCCUCUGUCCCUUGCCUUGCCUUGGUUGUCCCACAGCUGCCACCUGCCGCCUCUACCAGACCACAGUUGCUGUUGUGUUCACCAUGGCUGUCUCUUCCGUCCUGGCCUUCAGGGUCACCAGGUGACAGGGUCUGGGUGUGCCUGGGACCUGGCGCUUCCACCUCGGUGGUCCUUGCUGCUUCCUUGGUGCAGGUUGUUCUCUGUGGCAUCUGGCUGGGCACUUCCCCACCAUUCCCAGAUGGGGACAUGGCCUCAGAGCCCAGCCACAUUGUCAUCCAGUGCUGAGAGGGCUCUGCUGUCGCUUUCUCCUGUGUGCUGGGCUACCUGGGCCUCCUGGCUGGGGGCACCUUCUUUGUAGCCUUCCUGGCCAGGGGUCUGCCAGACGCCUUCAACAAGUCCAAGUUCCUCACCUUCAGCGUGCUGCUGUUCUGCAGCUUCUGGACAACCUUCCUGCCCCUGUACCACAGCGCACAGGGCAAGUCCACUGUGGCCGUGGAGAUCUUUUCCAUCCUGGCUUCCAUGGCAGGGCUGCUGGGUGGCAUCUUUGCCCCAAAUGUUACAUCAUCCUGCUAAAGCCCGAGCGGAAUGCCCCAGACUGGGUGAGGCGAGGACACUGGGAUCGGUGGGAAACGUGGAGCCAGGAGCUCCUCAGACCUGCGCCAUAAACCCACGAGCCAGGCCUUGUUGAAGAUAUCAGGGCCCCUGAUUUGAGCUCUGGGCUUCUGUGUGGAUUAAAAGAUAGUUAAAGGAUGGGCGUGGUGGCUCACGCCUGUAAUCCUACCACUUUGGGAGGCUGAGAUGGGCAGAUCACUUGAGGUCAGGAGUUCAAGACCAGCCUGGCCAACAUGGUGAAACCCUGUCUGUACUCAAAAUACAAAAAUUAACCAGGUGUCG
rnacentral:lncRNA from 1 species